GGAUACCACCUGGAAACAGGUGCUAAUACCGCAUAAGCGCACGGGAGCGCAUGCUCCUGUGUGAAAAACUCCGGUGGUAUGGGAUGGACCCGCGUCUGAUUAGCCAGUUGGCAGGGUAACGGCCUACCAAAGCGACGAUCAGUAGCCGGCCUGAGAGGGUGGACGGCCACAUUGGGACUGAGACACGGCCCAAACUCCUACGGGAGGCAGCAGUGGGGAAUAUUGCACAAUGGGGGAAACCCUGAUGCAGCGACGCCGCGUGAGUGAAGAAGUAUUUCGGUAUGUAAAGCUCUAUCAGCAGGAACGAGACAAGACGGUACCUGACUAAGAAGCCCCGGCUAACUACGUGCCAGCAGCCGCGGUAAUACGUAGGGGGCAAGCGUUAUCCGGAAUCACUGGGUGUAAAGGGAGCGUAGACGGCUGAGCAAGCCUGAAGUGAAAGGCGGGGGCCCAACCCCCGGACUGCUUUGGGAACUGUACGGCUGGAGUGCAGGAGAGGUAAGUGGAAUUCCUAGUGUAGCGGUGAAAUGCGUAGAUAUUAGGAGGAACACCAGUGGCGAAGGCGGCUUACUGGACUGUAACUGACGUUGAGGCUCGAAAGCGUGGGGAGCAAACAGGAUUAGAUACCCUGGUAGUCCACGCCGUAAACGAUGAUUACUAGGUGUCGGGGGGCAGAGGCCCUUCGGUGCCGCAG
rnacentral:rRNA from 1 species